rnacentral:rRNA from 1 species
GAAUUUUAUUAAUAUUAAAUUAUUUUUGAUUAAUAAAUUUAAUAUUAAUUUGAUUGGGGGGAUAUUUAAAUUAAUAAAACUUUAAAUUAAUUUAUAACAUUAAUUAAUGGAAAAAUGAUGUAUAAUGAUUUAGAUUAUGUUAAUAAAAGAAUAAAUUACCUUAGGGAUAACAGCAUAAUAUUUUUGGAGAGUUCAUAUUGAUAAAAAUGUUUGU